rnacentral:rRNA from 1 species
GAUGAACGCUGGCGGCGUGCCUAAUACAUGCAAGUCGAGCGAACAGACGAGGAGCUUGCUCCUCUGACGUUAGCGGCGGACGGGUGAGUAACACGUGGAUAACCUACCUAUAAGACUGGGAUAACUUCGGGAAACCGGAGCUAAUACCGGAUAAUAUAUUGAACCGCAUGGUUCAAUAGUGAAAGACGGUUUUGCUGUCACUUAUAGAUGGAUCCGCGCCGCAUUAGCUAGUUGGUAAGGUAACGGCUUACCAAGGCAACGAUGCGUAGCCGACCUGAGAGGGGGAGCGGCCCCACAGAGACGGAGACCGGUUCCAGACACCUCGGGGGGGCAGAAGGAGGAAAUCUUCCGAAAGGGGGAAAGGUUGGCGGGACCAACCCCGGGGGAGUAAGGAAGGUUUGAGGAUCAAAAAACUUUUUUAUGGGGAAAAAAAAAUGGUGAAAAAACUUAUGCACUUCUGCAGGUACCAAAAUAAAAAGACCCGGACAACUUCCUGC